UACGGAGGGUGCAAGCGUUAUCCGGAUUCACUGGGUUUAAAGGGUGCGUAGGUGGGUUGGUAAGUCAGUGGUGAAAUCUCCGUGCUUAACAUGGAAACUGCCUUGAUACUACUUGGUCUUUGAAUUUUCUGGAGGUAAGCGGAAUAUGUCAUGUAGCGGUGAAAUGCUUAGAUAUGACAUAGAACACCAAUUGCGAAAGGCAGCUUACUACAGGGAUAUUGACACUGAGGCACGAAAGCGUGGAGAAUCAAACAGGAUUAGGAAUACCCGG
rnacentral:rRNA from 1 species